GGAAGGACACUGUGGGGGCAAAGCUACCUUACUAGAAUUACCACAUUCCCUUCUUCCACGGACGGGGCAACUCUUACCAGAAAGGGCAUCCUGCUGCCACCCUCAGACCCCUCCCACAAAACCCUGGAGAAGAGCCCCCUGGGAUAACGCUGUUAAGGCCACUUCCAAAUGAAGUCAGACCCUGGAGGGUCCCUCUGACGUCAGGAUCCCUCAGAUACAUGGACACCUCAAAUCUUAACUGGGAAAAGUAUAAACCUGCCAAACUGAAUAGUAGCUAUAUUUCCAGGAAAUUCUCAUCCAUGAGGCUUAAGACGUUGUCCAGAAAUUUCUCAAAUUCCCCACAGCAGGACCCUGUGAUGACAUUGGCCUCACCUGGAUGACCCAGGAGGCUCCCCAUCUCAGGGGCCUGAACCGAACACACCUGCCAAGAGAAGCCACCACAUCGAGAAGCCGGCGCACCGCAAUGAAGAGGAGACCCCGCUCGCCACAACUAGAGAAAGCCUGCACGCAGCAAUGAAGACCCAAU